UACGUAGGAGGCAAGCGUUGUCCGGAAUUACUGGGUGUAAAGCGCGUGUAGGCGGCAGGCCAAGUCUGUGGUGAAAUCGCUCGGCUCAACUGGGCGGGGUCCAUGGAAACUGGUCAGCUGGAGGACGGUAGAGGUGAGUGGAAUUCCCGGUGUAGUGGUGAAAUGCGUAGAGAUCGGGAGGAACACCCGUGGCGAAGGCGGCCAACUGGACGAAUACUGACGCUGAGACACGAAAGCGUGGGGAGCAAACAGG
rnacentral:rRNA from 1 species